rnacentral:lncRNA from 1 species
AUGAACCGUGAACUCCCUGAUGUUCAAGCUGAUUUUAGAAAAGGCAGAGGAACCAGAGAUCAAAUUGCCAACAUCUGCUGGACCAUGGAAAAAGCAAGAGAGUUCCAGAAAAAUAUGUACUUCUGCUUUAUUGACUAUGCCAAAGCCUUUGACUGUGUGGAUCACAAUAAACUGUGGAAAAUUCUGAAAGAGAUGGGAAUACCAGACCACCUAACCUGCCUCUUGAGAAAUCUGUAUGCAGGUCAGGAAGCAACAGUUAGAACUGGACAUGGAACAACAGACUGGUUCCAAAUAGGAAAAGGAGUACGUCAAGGCUGUAUAUUGUCACCCUGUUUAUUUAACUUCUAUGCAGAGUACAUCAUAAGAAAUGCUGGACUGGAAGAAGCACAAGCUGGAAUCAAGAUUACCUGGAGAAAUAUCAAUAAGCUCAGAUAUGCAGAGGACACCACCCUUAUGGCAAAAAGUGAAGAGGAACUAAAAAGCCUCUUGAUGAAAGUGAAAGAGGGGAGUGAAAAAGUUGACUUAAAGCUCAACAUUCAGAAAACGAAGAUCAUGGCAUUCGGUCCCAUCACUUCAUGGGAAAUAGAUGGGGAAACAGUGGAAACAGUGUCAGACUUUAAUUUUUUGGGCUCCAAAAUCACUACAGAUGGUGAUUGCAGCUAUGAAAUUAAAAGACGCUUACUCCUUGGAAGAAAAGUUAUGACCAACCUAGAUGGUAUAUUCAAAAGCAGAGACAUUACUUUGCCAACUAAGGUCCAUCUAGUCAAGACUAUAGUUUUUCCAGUGGUCAUGUAUGGACGUGAGAGUUGGACUGUGAAGAAGGCUGAGUGCCGAAGAAUUGAUGCUUUUGAACUGUGGUGCUGGAGAAGACUCUUGAGGGUCCCUUGGACUGCAAGGAGAUCCAACCAGUCUAUUCUGAAGGAGAUCAAUCCUGGGAUUUCUUUGGAAGGAAUGAUGCUAAAGCUGAAACUCCAGUACUUUGGCCACCUCAUGAGAAGAGUUGACUCAUUGGAAAAGCCUCUGAUGCUGGGAGGGAUUGAGGGCAGGAGGAGAAGGGGACGACCGAGGAUGAGACGGCUGGAUGGCAUCACGGAUUCGAUGGACGUGAGUCUGAGUGAACUCCGGGAGAUGGUGAUGGACAGGGAGGCCUGGCGUGCUGCGAUUUGUGGGUCGCAAAGAGCUGGACACGACUGA